rnacentral:rRNA from 1 species
GAUGAACGCUGGCGGCGUGCCUAAUACAUGCAAGUCGAGCGAACAGACGAGGAGCUUGCUCCUCUCACGUGAGCGGCGGACGGGUGAGUAACACGUGAAUAACCUACCUAUAAGCCUGGGAUAACUUCGGGAAACCGGAGCUAAUACCGGAUAAUAUAUUGAAUCGCAUGGCUCAUUCGUGAAAGACGGUUUUGCUGCCCCGUAUAGAUGGAUCCCCGCCUCUUUGGCUAGUUGGUAAGGUACGGGCUUACCAAGGCAACGAUGCGUAGCCGACGUGGGAGGUGGUUCGGCCACACGGGAACGGGGCAAGGGUCCAGAUUCCUACGGAAGGCGGCAGUGGGGAAUCUUCGGCAAUGGGGGAAAGCCUGACGGAGAAACGCCGGGUGGUUGAGGAGGGUCUCCGGAUCGUAAAACUCUGUUAUUAGGGAGGAACAAAUGUGUAAUGAACUGUGCACGUCUUGACGGUACCUAAUCAGAAAGCCACGGCUAACUACGUG